rnacentral:rRNA from 1 species
UGGGGAAUCUUGGACAAUGGGGGCAACCCUGAUCCAGCCAUGCCGCGUGAGUGAUGAAGGCCUUAGGGUCGUAAAGCUCUUUCGCCUGUGAAGAUAAUGACGGUAGCAGGUAAAGAAACCCCGGCUAACUCCGUGCCAGCAGCCGCGGUAAUACGGAGGGGGUUAGCGUUGUUCGGAAUUACUGGGCGUAAAGCGCACGUAGGCGGACCAGAAAGUUGGGGGUGAAAUCCCGGGGGCUCAACCCCGGAACUGCCUCCAAAACUAUUGGUCUAGAGUUCGAGAGAGGUGAGUGGAAUUCCAAGUGUAGAGGUGAAAUUCGUAGAUAUUUGGAGGAACACCAGUGGCGAAGGCGGCUCACUGGCUCGAUACUGACGCUGAGGUGCGAAAAGUGUGGGGGAGCAAAACAGGAUUAGAUACCCUGGUAGUCCACACCGUAAAACGAUGAAUGCCAGUCGUCGGGGUAGCAUGCUAUUCGGUGACACACCUAACGGAUUAAGCAUUCCGGCCUGGGGGAGUACGGUCGCAAGAUUAAAACUCAAAUGAAUUG